AUCUGGGCGGCGGAAUUCAAGACGGCUGGCGGGUCUCGCGCUCGUUCGGCCGUUUGAUAUUUCCGUCGCCGUGUCAGACGUCGCGACCUGUUUGUCGUCGGUCCUUGCUCGGAGGAAUUGCGAUCGAGUUCGUUGCGGGCGCGUUUCGGCGUGCUUCGCGGCGAAGACGCGACUCUCUGGCCGACGACGGACAGUAAGCAACGGUGUCUGGCGCCGUGUCUCGCACUCGGCGUCGGUGCCGGUCAGCGACGAUUUCUUCGGGCCUCUUUCCGACCCGUCUUGAAACACGGACCAAGGAGUCUAACAUGCGCGCGAGUCGCGGGGUUUCGAGCGUACCACGGUGCGCUCGUUACUUCCGAAACCCGUACGUUGAAGGCGUAAUGAAAGUGAAUAGGGAAGAUGGCGUUCCGAGACCACGUACCGUGAUCGAGUAUCGCGGCCGGACGUCCGCACUCCCGGGGCGUCUCAAUGGUUCGCCACGGAUGCGGACGAUCGUCUUUCGGGGCGGUCGUCGGUCUGUGGCGGUCCGA
rnacentral:rRNA from 1 species